ACACCACUCCUUUUACUCGGAUCGUCCGGCACGUUCCUGCCGGUGAAGGGACAUAUCA
rfam:Streptomyces natalensis ATCC 27448 Scaffold_8, whole genome shotgun sequence.